rnacentral:rRNA from 1 species
UACGUAGGGUGCAGGCGUUAAUCGGAAUUACUGGACGUAAAGCGUGCGCAGGCGGUUUGCUAAGACAGGUGUGAAAUCCCCGGGCUUAACCUGGGAACUGCGCUUGUAACUGGCAAGCUUGAGUGUGGCAGAGGGGGGUGGAAUUCCACGUGUAGCAGUGAAAUGCGUAGAGAUGUGGAGGAACACCGAUGGCGAAGGCAGCCCCCUGGGCUAACACUGACGCUCAUGCACGAAAGCGUGGGGAGCAAACAGG